CCCUAUUCUAUGCUGCAGAUCACUCAGCCUAACUGGGACUACUCAGCAAACACCAAGUGAGCAGCUUUGACCCUAUUUCCACCUCAGCUGUCUUCCAUCAGGCUGAUUUUUUCUGCCUAAACUCCAUACUGCUCACAGGUUUUGUUUCAAAAAUACAGAAGCUGCUUCUGACCUAAUUGAUCAAAACUGCUUUUCUUCAGGAAACUGCAAAAUAUCUUCUUUUCAAGGCAAAUGAAUUUGGAGACUGGUGAGAGAGAGAAAGGGUGGCUGUGGUAGAGGAAAUAUUUUUAUCCAGGCCUCAGGAAAUGGUGGUCUGGCUGCAGUGGUGCGGAUGGUUACAUGAAGAGAAUUCGAGCAGGGCAAAGCCUGCCAUCACUUAAUGUCUGUCCCCAAACUCCUGCACUGCAAGAACUAAUGUUAAUAUCCACCUGGAAAUAACCAGCAAGGAAGCUGCUACCCUAAAACAACCCUUCAAGCUCAAGUGAGGUUUCAGGGACCACACAGGCUGCUCCCCAAAUUGCAACAAAGGUGUGGGAUUUUCUUUUCCUCAAACUGCAGCUAUUGUUAUCUACCCUAUUAUUAAGAAGUUUAAGAAAUGUAACAUCAAUGACUUCCUUUUCAUCUUUGUGGAGUGGAGCAUUUGACAGUAAGUUAAAAUCCUAAAUAAAAUAUGAAAGCUGCCAGCACAUGCCAAAAGUCUCUCGGAGAGCAUAUAUGAAAAGUUGCUCCUAAGACGCAAAUGCCACUAAUACCAUAUGAAAAUUGCAAAAAGGUAUAUGAAAGUCACUAAUGUGACAUGAAAGAACAAAAGUCUUCAAAUUAUGUGAAAGUUGCUGUUACGAUAUGUUUCCC
rnacentral:lncRNA from 1 species